rnacentral:snRNA from 1 species
CUAAAAUUGGAACAAUACAGAGAAGAUGAGCACAGCCCCUGUGCAAGGAUGACAUGCAAAUUCGUGAAGCAUUCUGUAUUUUU